ACCCUCCCAGCUCUGCAUGGUCACACCUGGCUUUACUCUUACCACUUUCCUAAUGUGGAGAGGGGGGAUAGGUCUCCUCAGGACCUGGGUUGGCCUUCCAGCGGCCUCUCUUUCCCUGAGGGUCCAGCAGAG
ensembl:snoRNA